UACGGGGGGGGCAAGCGUUGUUCGGAAUUACUGGGUGUAAAGGGCUCGUAGGUGGCCAACUAAGUCGGACGUGAAAUCCCUCGGCUUAACCGGGGAACUGCGUCCGAUACUGGAUGGCUUGAGUUUGGGAGAGGGAUGCGGAAUUCCAGGUGUAGCGGUGAAAUGCGUAGAUAUCUGGAGGAACACCGGUGGCGAAGGCGGCAUCCUGGACCAACACUGACACUGAGGAGCGAAAGCCAGGGGAGCAAACGGG
rnacentral:rRNA from 1 species